CCAGAGCAGGGGCUCACUAGAGAAUCAGGAACCUGCUAGAACCAAUUGAGGCAGACAGGCUGAUUAGAUCACCUGCGGCCAAUCAAGGCAGGCCUAAUCAGGGCACCGGUUUAAAAAGGAGCUCACUCCAGUCAGGUGAGGGGUAGCCA